UACGAAGGGGGCUAGCGUUGUUCGGAAUCACUGGGCGUAAAGGGCGCGUAGGCGGCCGUUCAAGUCGGGGGUGAAAGCCUGUGGCUCAACCACAGAAUUGCCUUCGAUACUGUUUGGCUUGAGACCGGAAGAGGUAAGUGGAACUGCGAGUGUAGAGGUGAAAUUCGUAGAUAUUCGCAAGAACACCAGUGGCGAAGGCGGCUUACUGGUCCGGUUCUGACGCUGAGGCGCGAAAGCGUGGGGAGCAAACAGG
rnacentral:rRNA from 1 species